rnacentral:rRNA from 1 species
GACGAACGCUGGCGGCGUGCUUAACACAUGCAAGUCGAACGGAAAGGCCCUGCUUUUGUGGGGUGCUCGAGUGGCGAACGGGUGAGUAACACGUCAGUAACCUGCCCUUGACUUUGGGAUAACUUCAGGAAACUGGGGCUAAUACCGGAUAGGAGCUCCUGCUGCAUGGUGGGGGUUGGAAAGUUUCGGCGGUUGGGGAUGGACUCGCGGCUUAUCAGCUUGUUGGUGGGGUAGUGGCCUACCAAGGCUUUGACGGGUAGCCGGCCUGAGAGGGUGACCGGCCACAUUGGGACUGAGAUACGGCCCAGACUCCUACGGGAGGCAGCAGUGGGGAAUAUUGCACAAUGGGCGGAAGCCUGAUGCAGCAACGCCGCGUGCGGGAUGACGGCCUUCGGGUUGUAAACCGCUUUCGCCUGUGACGAAGCGUGAGUGACGGUAAUGGGUAAAGAAGCACCGGCUAACUACGUG